rnacentral:rRNA from 1 species
UCUGGUGAUGAUGCUCUUAAUGGAUACACCCGUUCCCAUACCGAACACGAAGGUUAAGCAUUAAGAGGCCGAUAGUACUGCACGGGAAGCUGUGUGGGAGGGUAGGUGGUUGCCAGGU